CUCCAGAACAAAGGGAAGACAGGCCUGUGGAGGAGCCGCCGCCGAGCAUGGGAACCCAGGAAAGACCUCUCAUUCCAUCAUCCAGGCUGGAGUGUAAUGUCAAGAUCUCCGCUCACUACAACCUCCGCCUCCUGGGUUCAAGGGAUUCUCCUGCCUCAGCCUCCUGAGUAGCUGGGAUUACAGGCACACACCACCGCAACCAGCUAAUUUUUGUAUUUUUAGUAGAGAUGGGGUUUCACCACGUUGGUCAGGCUGGUCUCGAACUCCUGACCCCAAGUGACCUGUUCGCCUCAGCCUCCCAAAGUGCUAGGAUUACAAGCGUGAGCCACCACGCCCGGCCCAGACUUCUUUCUAUGUCUUAUUUUGGGGAAACAAGCAAGCGUAAUAAUGGUUACGUCCAGCAAUUUCAAGACAUUAUUGCCCUGACCCAUAAAGCAAUUCCUGUUUUUCCUCCAGUACUCAGCCACGGAUUCAAAAGCAAGUGCUGUGUCCUCUAACCGUCUGUCCUACUUGACUGACCAGGAACUAAAUCUGCAGAGAGCACUGGCAAAUUCUCCCUCCCCUAAAUACUAAUAACCCUGCCUCCUAUAUUGGAAAGUCACCUAUAAAUAUUGAUCACUAAUAUUAGCUAGUCAUGUCUACAAUCUGUACACAAACAUUUUGGCAAUUUCUCUGUAGAAUAAAGAAACUGGGCGCUUGAAACU
rnacentral:lncRNA from 1 species